rnacentral:tRNA from 1 species
GGCGGGAUAGCUCAGUAGGUAGAGCACAUGACUGAAAAUCAUGGUGUCCCCGGUUCGAAUCCGGGUCCCGCCA